GUGUGGAAGGGAGGAGUGCAAGGCAGAGCCCAGCCGGGGAGGAAAGAAGCUUGGGACCUGCUCUACAGUACGAGUGAGCCAGUUAGCCAAUUGCACACAGGGGUGUGCAAUUGUUGUAACGGUAUUGAAACCAGAAAAGGCGGCCUGUCACCUACCAAACCCAAAAAGCAGAGACAGGUAUUGAAUGUUUAUGGGUCCUUUAUUCAGAUGGCUGGCCCCAUCUGAGAAGAUGACGGGUUGUGUACCCUAGCAGAUCAUCUUAAAUUCUAUUUUAAUCCGACCCUUUUUAUAAGGAGAAGGAAAGUUUAGGUAAAGGGUUUGGAAUACAGGGAAAAAGUUAAUCACAUAAAAAUCUGUAGCAUUCUUGCAUCUGAGUCCUGGACGGUGGGUAUCUCACCAUGAAUACAACGGCUCGGAUAUCAUCCUGAUUGCAGUUCUACUGAGGCACAAAGGUGGAACUGCUUAUGGUCUCCUGAAGUCAAGGGUGUAUGCCUAUAACCUGCCUAUGCCUAUGUGCUGCAAUAUAGACCUCACUUAAGGAGCCCAUCUUCGUCAUCGCCCCCCUGAGAUUCAAUGGUUUGGCUGAACUAAGUAGUUGGGUUGGUGAAGAGCUGGGGCAGUCUGUGGGCUUCACUUUAGAACUGAUUUUCCCUUUUCUGCCUUGAUAGCUUGGACAGAAAGGGCUCAGAAAUCUAGAAGGAGGGAAAUCCUAAUGUAUUCCCCUCAGCCUGAGUGAAGUACAGUGAAGCACAAAGUUUUUAGAUAGGUGUAGCAUGCCUUGUACACCUUCCUCCAGAUAAGCCAUUCUUUACUGAAUUCCCUGCCUUUGUCAUUUAAUGGUUAUGAUUUAAUUGUGCUUCCAAUUUCUUGCCUAAUCUGUCACCUCCAGAAUAUGACCUGACCAGAAUGCCAACGGCCCAGUAAUGCCAGCCUUUGGACACCAAGACUGUGACGUCCAGGUGACAGCCAACGGACCAGGACCCUAGUGUGGACCUCCUCUUUCCCAAGGUGAAAGGGAAAACCAUGCAGCUUUGCCAGAAUGAAGAUCCCUGCAGCCAGGUGAAGAAGAAAGCCACGUGCUUUUGGUGGAGUGUGGACCCCUGCAGCUUUGGUAGAAGAGGCCCACGCGGCUUUGGGGUGCCCCCCCUUGGGCCCGUGGUCUGGAAAGCAGGAGAGACUUUGACUGGAACUUGGUACACAGAACUCUUGCCAGUGGACUGUGAGAGGGUGCCACAUGACUGGAUUAACGAGAGAUCCUGCCCGUGAUAUGGGAAACUUUGAAGCAUCUCUGUUUAACCUUUAUUUGCCCAGGCACCCUAGGGAGAAUGAUGGGGCUGUCUAGGUUAAGUAAACAACAGUGCAUUAGCUAGGACUGAGAUUAAAACACCCCUGCUGUUAAAAACGGACCUUCGAAUUUAGCCUUUGUUCUCUGCUUCUGCCCCAUAGCUAGAACUAACUUCCACAUUCUGCUUCUGUAUCCCACUUUGCUACGUAGACAAGAAGACCCUGGAAACUAUAAAAAACCCCAAGAAUCCUUUGUUCAGGGCUCAGAAUUUGGACACUGACUCCUCUGGGCCCGUUCAUGUUAAUAAAACCUCUUACUC